rnacentral:rRNA from 1 species
UACGUAGGGUGCAAGCGUUAUCCGGAAUUAUUGGGCGUAAAGAGCUCGUAGGCGGUUUGUCGCGUCUGCUGUGAAAACCCGAGGCUCAACCUCGGGCCUGCAGUGGGUACGGGCAAACUAGAGUGCGGUAGGGGAGAUUGGAAUUCCUGGUGUAGCGGUGGAAUGCGCAGAUAUCAGGAGGAACACCGAUGGCGAAGGCAGAUCUCUGGGCCGUAACUGACGCUGAGGAGCGAAAGCUGGGGAGCGAACAG